rnacentral:tRNA from 1 species
GUCCACGUGGCCUAAUGGAUAAGGCGUCUGACUUCGAAUCAGAAGAUUGCUGGUUCGAAUCCUGUCGCUGACA